AGUUCUCGGGGCAGGCGGGGUAGGCGCAGUCGGCGCCCACGUAGGGCGCGUCGCACUCGCAGCGGCCGUCCACGCAGCGCCCGUGGCCGCUGCACGCCCCGGGGCAGGCUGGCCGCUCGCAUGCGGCGCCCUCCCAGCCCUGCUCGCAGCGGCAGCCGCAGGUCUCGGGGGAGAAGGUCCCGUGGCCGCUGCAGUGGCCGUUGGCACCUGCCGGCGAGAGGAAGGUAGGCUGGAGGGGGUGCGGGCCGGCGAGCGGGCCUCUCCCUUCCCUGGAGCUCCGAAACUUUGGACGUGCAGGCUCCUCGGCAAUCCCGUGCUGUUUCAUUCACCGCAGUGUCCCUGGUGCCUAGUUCUGUGUCUGGUACAUAGGAGGCGCUCUCAAUGGUAGCACUUCCUCCAGCAUGAACAGAAAUGAAUAAACGUUAAAGAUUUUUUCUACAAAGAGUUGCUGGUCCCUCUCUACUGAGGCUUGCAGAUGCUUCCUGGAGCUAGUGUCGAAGAUGAGACCCCCACCCCACCCUCAGAAAACGCAGAGGGAGGUGGGAGCACACCAGACCCCCACAGGACAGCUGGCAUGUGGAAGGCGCCCGUUAGUUGUUUGUUGAAUGAAUACCAGAUGGUAAAAGCUCACCGGCAACUCCUUGGCAGCAGCGCUGGACAUCACACCGCUGCUUCACCUCUGCCAUCUCUUCCUCCAGCUUCUUCACUCGGGCCAGGAGGGCUUGGACGCUGCCUGCCAGCUCACAGUCCUUCUGUGGCGUCUGUAGGCGGAUGUUGUGCCUGAAGAUGAUGUUCUGUUCCUCGGCCUCCCCUGAGGCCAGGAGCGAGGCUCCAUCGUCACUAAGGGGCUGGGGGUCAGUCUCGACCUGGACCAGAGCGGACUUGGGCACAUCAAUCUUGUAGGUGUGGCUGACAGUAACCUGCGGCUCCUUGUCGCUGCAGCCCUGAGGCUCGAGGGUGGCCGGGGCUGAGGCCACCAACAGCACAGAGCCAAAGAGGAGCCCCAGGGGGAAGCAGAACAUCCCCCGGAGACCCAUCCUUGGGGAGACAGGGAGCAGAUGCUCUCGGAGACCUGUAUCCAGAAAAGAUGCAAACGAAAGCCAUGAAGAUUUGCUGGUGGAAAUUGCCCUUUAUAGUGGAUUCGAAGAGUCCACAGGAAGCUGAGAACCCAGCAGAACUACAUCCUAGAUCUCCUAAGGAUCCAAACUAAAUUUUGUGUUCUUUCUCCUGCUUCCUGUCUUUGCUUACACCGUUCACUCCCUGGGAGACCCUCCUCUUCACCUCUAAUUCAAUACUCACCUCACGAAUAGUGACAAGGAAAACAAUUGCGACCAGGCUUUGAUCUCCCCAUCCCUGAUCUAAACCACACACCGAGUAAUACCCUCCCCAUUAACACCACCUACAGAACAGCCGCACCUAGAGAGCAUGCUGUGUGCCAGGCGCUGUCCUAAAUGUUCUGCGUUGAUUACCUUAUUCGAGCCUCACAACAAUGCUUCGCAGAAUAUACUAUUACUACCCCAUUUUGCAGAUACAGAAACUGAGACUCAGCUCCCUAAAGUGACUUGCCCACAGGCAAACAGCCAAGAUGGCCGAAUUUGAAUCCAGAGACCAUGCUCAUCCCCACUUUGUCACGCUGCUUUGCACACGUGAGGAAACCAAGGUUCAAGGGACUGAGCAAGUUGUCCCAGGUGCCACAGCCAGGAAGGGCAGAGCCUGUCCUCAGACCCCAGGCCAGGGUCCUGCUCACCACCGCUGCCUGCGAGCCAGCAAAAGAUGAGAACUUCUAAUACAAAUAAUUCUUCCAUGAAGCCUUCUCUCAUGCCCCCCCCCCCCCCCCCGCCCAUCUCACUACAGCUGGAAACUACUAGCUCGCCUGCUGAGCAUUCGGAGAAAUGUAUUGGUUCCUCUGUGAGUCUCUUCACGGCCUACCUUGUGUUACAGUUACUCUUGUAUGCAGUUUGUCUCCCCAUGAGGCUGUCAGCCUCUUAAGGACAGGACCCAAGGCUGGUCCCUCCCGGAGCCCUCCCAAGGCAGGAGCAAAGAGCCACCCAAGCCAAGGGGUUCAGUCACCCUCAAAUCCGUGCUCAGUGGCCUGGUUUGUCAGUCAGGCCAGGCCACCCUGGCAGGAGCAGGCGAUUAGGUUUCGCCUCUGGUUUGGCCCCCAGGAGGUGUGAGCCUUCCUCCAUCAGUGUGGAGAAGGACCUCUGUCUCCAGCUCCUAUCCAGGAUGGCACGUUCUUGACCACUAUCAGACCGAGGCCGGGCAGACACAGGAGACCUAGCCGGUACUUCACAUUCGCUCAGGGGCACUCACUCACCAGAACACCUCUCAGCUGGGCUGUCACGGCCCCCCUUUGCUAGAAACCGAGCUGCAGGGCUGCCUCCGGCCAAUGGGCUUCUGUGACCAACUCAUGACUCGUAAGCGUUUGUACCGAGACUGACGUCAGGAAGCCUUGUCCUUUCCUGGAGGUGAUGUCCCAGUCAAGCCCAGGCUCUCCCUCCCCAUUAUAAGAGGCAGUGACAAGGUGCUGGAAAAACAAAUCAGGUCCUAGGUGUGUAGCCUCGCGAAGGCUCCUUAUCCUCCUGUUAACCAUCAUCCUCUGGUGAAGUGGGAAUGAUAACACCUGCUUCCCGCAUUGUAUGAGGAGAGCGCUUCGUGCCAUGCCAAGCACACGGUAAGUGCUCAAUAAAUGAGGUUUGGGUUUUAAUCAA